CAGUAGCCACGGUAAGACAGAGGAUGCAAGCGUUAAUCGGAUUUACUGGGCGUAAAGCGUGCGUAGGCGGCUUCUUAAGUCGGAUGUGAAAUCCCUGAGCUUAACUUAGGAAUUGCAUUCGAUACUGGGAAGCUAGAGUAUGGGAGAGGAUGGUAGAAUUCCAGGUGUAGCGGUGAAAUGCGUAGAGAUCUGGAGGAAUACCGAUGGCGAAGGCAGCCAUCUGGCCUAAUACUGACGCUGAGGUACGAAAGCAUGGGGAGCAAACAGGAUUAGAUACCCCAGUAGUCCCUGUCUCUUAUAA
rnacentral:rRNA from 1 species